rnacentral:rRNA from 1 species
UGGGGAAUAUUGCACAAUGGGCGCAAGCCUGAUGCAGCCAUGCCGCGUGUGUGAAGAAGGCCUUCGGGUUGUAAAGCACUUUCAGCGAGGAGGAAGGGUAGUGUGUUAAUAGCACAUUGCAUUGACGUUACUCGCAGAAGAAGCACCGGCUAACUCCGUGCCAGCAGCCGCGGUAAUACGGAGGGUGCAAGCGUUAAUCGGAAUUACUGGGCGUAAAGCGCACGCAGGCGGUUUGUUAAGUCAGAUGUGAAAUCCCCGCGCUUAACGUGGGAACUGCAUUUGAAACUGGCAAGCUAGAGUCUUGUAGAGGGGGGUAGAAUUCCAGGUGUAGCGGUGAAAUGCGUAGAGAUCUGGAGGAAUACCUGUGGCGAAGGCGGCCCCCUGGACAAAGACUGACGCUCAGGUGCGAAAGCGUGGGGAGCAAACA